GGAUGCGAUCAUACCAGCACUAACGUAUCGGAUCCCAUCAGAACUCCGAAGUUAAGCGUGCUUGGGCGAGAGUAGUACUAGGAUGGGUGACCCCCUGGGAAGUCCUCGUGUUGCAUCCC
rnacentral:rRNA from 1 species